CAGAAAGUGAUAGGAGACCAAUGAGAGAUGUGGCUAGGAGCCAAACCACACAGCGUUUUGUUAAGAAGAACUAGUCUGGUUUUAGUCAAUGCACAAUGGGAAGCUGUCACACUAUGACAGAAAGGUGUCGCUUUUCAAUGGAGUCACAGCAUUCUAGAACCGGUUUACACCCCAGAAUCCCAGAGCUCAUAACCUUGCUGUUCCUGGUGCACAAUGGAUUCAGAUCUUCUAUUAAUACAGAAUGUUUUCCAUAAACAGAAUGCAUAUCUAAAGGCCUAAUGGUGAAGCCACCUUGAAUCCACAAGCUACAGAAAGCUGGAAGGAGCCUAAGUCACGGAUAACUUCCUAGCGUAGCUACACCAUCCAUAAUGACUUGCUGGUUUUUCCCUUAUUCUGAGAAAAAUAAAAGCUUACAUGGUGGUA